rnacentral:rRNA from 1 species
UUUAGGAACCAGCCGCCUAAGGUGGGACAGAUGAUUAGGGUGAAGUCGUAACAAGGUAGCCGUAGGAGAACCUGCGGCUGGAUCACCUCCUUUCUAAGGAA